CCGGGCCGGUACCCACCCGGCCCCCGCGCCGCUGCCGGCUGCGGGGACCGCCUCAGAUGCUCCGCGGCACAAGGGGACUCUUUCAGCAGACAGCGUACAGUUUACAGACAAGACAACAACAACAACAAAAGGCACAUAUGGUUAAAAUAAGGAAAGAGCGAGCUUUCUGCCUUAGGGGAUUGGCAACAACUAGCCAGAAAUGCAGGGCAUUGAAUCUAAACUUCUGGUGGGCUUCUGCGGGAUUGACAACUUAAAUCACACUACAAGCAUCAAUUUGACAAUAUUUGUAAACUUCUUGUUUCCAAGGAUCUUCUUGAUCAGAGAUAGACCAGGUUGGUAUGAGCUUGAGCCACGGAGGUCUUUUUUUUUUCCUCCUCCUUUCCCCUCUUCCGAGUUGAUGAAUAGCGAUCAGGUUUCUUUUAAUGGCUGCCCCCUAUUCUCACAGCCUCCCACAACUAACCCAAGAGCCUGUUUCCUCGACCUCAGUUAAUUCCGCUGAUUAUUCCAAGAUGAUGAGGAAAGCACGAAGAUUGUCCACUCUUCCUACCGAUUCAAGGCAUUUUUGUUACCGUCUCCAUCCCUGGCUCACGGGGAUUUGACGGGGGGAGUAUUUUUAGGAACAGGCUGCCCUCCCUUCCCCCCUGCCCUCCCUCCCCAGGCAGCUGACAGCUUCGGGGUCUCAGCCAUGGUCUUGCCGCUCCGUGGGUACUCCAUCCUCGCCUCGGGGGCGGUGGGGGGGUAAAUACAGGCACCCUUCGCGCAGCGGCCCGGGGUGUCUCAGGGCGGGGGCACCCCCGGCAUUUCGGGGGCCGCCCAGGUGCCGGUGGCGCAGUGGAAGCAGGUUGGCAGCAGCAUUUGGCGUGCAUUGAAGAAGUCUGGGAACUGGGCCUUACAGUCAUCAUAAAGAAGUGAUUUUCAGCUUCCAAGAAGAGAAGAAAGUAAAGAGGUAUAACUGGUGUCAUGACUCAGGGUGGAAUUAAAACACAACUGGAGCCAUAUUGCACAAGCAGGUUUUAAGCAGAUUUGUCACAGAACAUGGUACAUCCUACAGCCUCAUGGAAAAAACCCUCUGAGCUCCUGCUGCCCACUCCACACUAAACUGCAUGAACACACCAAGUGGUACAGCUGUGGAAAGGGAUUUCAGUGGGUACCGAAGCACUUAGGACCGCUGCUCCACCGUCACUUCAAUGUUGGCCAGGAGGUUCCUGUUUCAGAGGCUGUUGAGAUGUAAGGGAUGAAUAGGGGAAAGCUGAUUAUGUAUUGGCUACUGAUUCCAGGACUGCAGGGAGGUAAAAGUCAAGUAAAUUUCAUUAUUUUAUUACAGUAUGAUAGUCUUUUUAAUAUAUUACACUCUGAAGACUUUUGCAAGUCCCAGAGCAAUAUUGUGGUAUGUUAAUUUGAAAAAAAUGCAUUGUAAGAGAUUUCAUGGAAAUCUAAUAUUUUCUAGUGUUAGCAUUUCUAUUUUUGUGCUGCCCUGCUUUCCCCCAACAUUUUAUUUCUCCAUUAAUUUUAAUUAGGCUCUCACUGGAUUUCAAGUACAGUUGAAGUACAGAAAUGGGAAAGGUUCCUUGCCAAGAUUGACCAAGAUGUGGCAGAGAUACACAGUCCCACAUCCUCCCACCCUUCAUGUCUAAAGAGCCAGAUUUUCCCAACAGGAAUUCUGAUGGGAAAUGGAAAGAUGUGUGUUCAGAAAAACUCUACCAGCCUUCAUGGGCUCACACAGCUCCACAGAAGGACUGGGAAAAAGCAAAGGCAGUUUUGGGUUUCUGGGGAGCACGUUUUGGACUAUAACUCAGAAACUUUCACACUGACAGUACUUGACUCUCCCUCAGUUGAAGUACUGUAGAAUUUUUGGAUGCAUUUUCAACAACAAAGAUGAAAAUUUCCUCUCAAAAUGUCUCUGUUCUCCCAUAGAGGAAAUUCAUUCUUGACAGGUAACUUUGUGUCAUUGUGCCAAUCCACCACAGCUCUGCCUGAGCGGUCACUCAGUGAUGCAGAAGCUCAGUUUCCAGGUCACUGAGGUCUGUGACUGUACCACCAGGAUCAGAUUCACUGGGGAAGGUGAGCUCAGCGUGUGCUCCGGCUUCCCACGACACACUGGUGGGAAGGGAGUUGUUCAGGUCCUUGGGCUGGGACCAACUCCUCUCCUGAUUUAUCCUAAGACCAAAGAGGCUUCAAGGGCAGUAUCAUAGGGGUUUUUUUUGUGUACCAGAUAGAACUGCUCAACAGAGGCUACCAACUGUGUCACAGACCUCCAGACAGCUAUUAGAUGGAAAUAAACAUCAGUGGUUACUGAGACAUACUAGAUAUAACCUCAUGACCUAGAAAUGGAAGGCUUUCUAUAGAAACCAUUUACUCAAGCAAAAUUAUGCCACAAGAAGGAAUAGGCUUACUUUUCACCAUGUCUAUUUAUUAAAACCAUUGCUAACUUGUUCCUUGAUAUCUUGAUUUAUGAAGUUUGUGACAAAUUGCUUGCUUAAUUGAAAUAUGUCAGGUUUCUAAAUACUGAAGUUAAUUAUCCCUCCUUUUCUAGUGGAGACUGACCUUUAAUUGUACAAUAUUAAUCCACAUAUUGUAUGAAUUAUGUGAAAUAUCCAUUUUGUAUGUAGAGAGAGAGACAUGCAUGUGUUAUUGUAGUAGAGUACAGUUACAUAAUUAUUUUUAAUUUAGGAUAUCAGUUUAAUUAAAUACUUGCAGAAACCAAGCUUUUUCAGGAAAUUUGCAAUUACAAUCAAUUUGAAUGUACAGCUACAUUAAUAUGGUGACAAGCCCAAUAAUAAAAACUAAGUAAUUAUGGGCAGGUGCUGAACAGAUGUGUAAAUAGAAGGUCUCUGCAUGGAAAAUUGUUAUAUAUCAUUUUGAAAAGCAAAAGAAACCUGUUAUCCAUAGCCAUUCAUAUAUGCAGUUAAAAUCAGUCACAAAAAAGUUAGUUCUUUGAAUUUAGAUAAAUCAUUUAAAAAUGUGUAUGGCACUUACGCUUUCAUUUUCUGUUUCUGGAAAGAAAGUCUAGUUGAUUGAAGACUGCUGCUCUACUGUACUCAAAGAGUCUGCCGCACUAUUGAAAUAUAUUCUUCUUUCAACACAUUUAUGAUGAGUGGGUUUUGAGUUUGGAAUGAUUUAAGAGUUAAAACAAUUCACAUUCCAUAUUACAAAUUGAGCUUUAUUUAAAGAAGAGGAGAUGCUAAGAGUGGUUUAGAGUUGUUUGCUCAAGUUAUCAGAUUGCCAAAAGCCCAAUUUAGCCUCCAAAUAGUUGGAAAACAAUGA